CGGCUGCAGAAAAAGAAUCUGUUUUAAGGACACUAUCAGAAAAGAAUGGCCAAGUUGGGUGAAGCCGCUGCUGACGGACGACUACGCUGCUUACUUCAUAUGAACUUAGCAACUUGUACCACAUAACCUGGCUGGUCAGUGAUGAAGGACGAGAACCACCUCUGGUCCAGCCUCAGAGCCUUUCUCUACCCCAUCACCCUCAUCUGUCAAGUAUUUGCGAGGCUCUGUGGGUGACCCAGAAGAAAGUGUGUUUCAGGAUGAAGCUCACACUGAAGCGGCAAAGAGGAAAGAGCGAAGGACACCGAGCUGGUGGGAAAGGUCGGGCCACGUGCUCCAUCUCAUGGUUCUGAGCAAAGAGGGAAGGGGCAGAGCAAAGUAGCAAAUACAGAAAGAUCUAUUUGCUCGCAGUCGUGCCCCGCCUGCCGAAGCAUGCUGAAGAGGCCUGGAGACAUGAUUAACCUCUCUUGCUACCUUCCUCAAGCUCGAGUGGCCAGGCUUGGCAAGAUGCUGUGCUUUGCUGCUGCAAUGACAGCGCCCACAGUGGCCUGGGAACAAAUCGAAAGUGAAGUUGAUAACGCAGGGAAUAAGUGAACGCUGGCUGCCGGGGCAGGACACUCCAGCAGAGCGAGGGUGGUCACUGGACGAUACGAUGUGGUUUGGGUUCGACAGGGUGACUUCGAAGAUGCCUCGUUUCUCUGAUUCUCUGAUGGUCAAUGAAACACCACACCUUGGCUAGAGCUACGUUUUCUUGGUUUGCCUUGUUUAAUCCGAUCUCCCUUGCUUCUUCUUUUCCCAUAGCUUGUCUCCAGGUUUUAAGGACCUCUUUGGUGUCUGCACCUUCUUUUCCAUCACUUCUGUUCCCAUUCAGCCUCAUUUGUUUUCCUAUUUCCCUUUUUUUUUCCCUUGCUAUUUGGAUACCUGUCAUAUACCUACCCCCAGGGGCCCACAUGGCAGUGUCCUCAAUUCCUGGAAUGCCUAAUUUUACCCACUAUUUUGGAGAUGGGGCUAGGUUUCCUUAAAAGAGAAAAAAAAAAAAAAAAGAUCCCUGACACUGCCUGUUUCCAUCCCUAAGGCUCAAAUAAUUGGAAAGACUAUUGUCUGAGGAAAGAUAGUUUCUAAUGAGCGAUACACAAGGAAGAAAAUCUGAUCUUCCCAAGCGAAAUUCCUGACAAACCAUAAACUCCGCAAGAAAGACGCAGAGCACUUCUCUCGUGGUGCCCAAGGUACCACGUCUCUAAGCUGACAUCAUAGGAAAGCCUUUGUGCAUAAGUAGACUGUGUGUUAAUAAAAUAAUAUUUAUGAUUCAGCGUUUUUUUCCUUUUAAGUAUCAAGCUGUAUCCUAGAGGAACAAAAAUAAAAGAAGUUGAUGUCUACAAUAUAACUAUUAAGGGGGAAUUUGCUCCACUGUUAUUUGGAUGUAAUUGGUACUGAGCAUCACAAUGCACUUGUAAUUGGGUCUGUCCUUGUUCACUUCAAGGGUUCCAUGCGAUUUCUACUUGAACCCAUUUUUUUGAUACCGUUCAGCUCAGCAGUGCCAGCUAACUCUUGUUAUGUAGUUGAAAAACUGUGGCCAUUAAAAAUAGGAUACAGUGUGAUUUUGUUUUGCAGCACUGCAUGGAAAAUCAGUUGCUGUUCAUAACAGCUCUGUGGUUGGUUGAUUUAAAGCAGGGGGGUGACUUGGAAUUGACAAGCAGACAGUUUGUGAAAAGGGAUAUUGUAUCUUUAAGGCUUUCUGACUGAUUGUGUUUAACUGCACCACGCAGCAGGCAGUAAUUAGGCUGCAGCUUCACCGAGAGGCUUAAAGCACCGGCUCUGGUUCUCAGUUCUUCAGAUUUUGUUUUAAAGCACAAACAUUUUUUUGGAUUUGAAUCCAUGAUAAUUUUUUUUUAAACCGUGAGAGCAUGUGUAAGUGAGCAAAUGAAAAGCUGACCCCAGAGGCUUUCUGUACAGACCAUCUCUGGGGACCGCCCUGCGCCAACGGACUCUCGGGAGACCAGGCGGCCGCCCUGGGAAGCGGUGAACACGGGGAUAGCAGCACAUGAUGCUGGAGAAGGUCAAGGUGCUCUUGAAAUGAAAGGAAGGCAGCUCUGAGAACAUGACAUGGUUUCUUCUGGCCCAGUUCACAAUGUUAAUGAGACUAGUUGAAGCAUGCUUCUAAGAUUAAUAGACAAAAAUGCCUGAUAAUUUUUGUUUAGGGGAAUGAGAAUUUUUCCUUCAGCUAGGCUACAAAGUAGAAAAGAGAGUAUGUUACAGAAGCAAAUCAAUUAAGCCAUUCGUUUCAGGAAUGAUUUCCAUGCACUGCUCUGCCUCCCUGAUUGCCCCCUCCCACCUCUUAUAAUACCCCAUUGCUGUUUUUAAAAAUGGUAAACAUUGUCAAUCAUUAUUUGGUGAAGUCGAGUUUCAAGUUUUUCAGACAUUUGUUAUCACAGAGAAGCAGUUGACAGAUUUUAUGUUGACCUUAUAAAAAAUGAACGUUCAAUUACUGGAUUGACUAAGGUAGCUGUCUUCAUUAUCAAUCAGACCACAGGGGCUGAGUCCCAACUCUGUGCAAGAUGCUACACCAGGAGCUGUGAGAGAGAACGUUUGUUCUGGAAACAUACUUGUGGUCUUGCCUGACACUAUGUAUAAACUUCUCUUCCUUUUCCUAAUUAUCUGGGUGAGUUAUUCCAUAUAGGUUUGGGUAUCAUUUAAUUCUUAAAUUACUUAUUUUUUCUUAU